UCCGUAGGUGAACCUGCGGAGGGAUCAUUACCGAGUUUACAACUCCCAAACCCAAUGUGAACGUUACCAAACUGUUGCCUCGGCGGGGUCACGCCCCGGGUGCGUCGCAGCCCCGGAACCAGGCGCCCGCCGGAGGAACCAACCAAACUCUUUCUGUAGUCCCCUCGCGGACGUAUUUCUUUACAGCUCUGAGCAAAAAUUCAAAAUGAAUCAAAACUUUCAACAACGGAUCUCUUGGUUCUGGCAUCGAUGAAGAACGCAGCGAAAUGCGAUAAGUAAUGUGAAUUGCAGAAUUCAGUGAAUCAUCGAAUCUUUGAACGCACAUUGCGCCCGCCAGUAUUCUGGCGGGCAUGCCUGUCCGAGCGUCAUUUCAACCCUCGAACCCCUCCGGGGGAUCGGCGUUGGGGAUCGGGACCCCUCACACGGGCGCCGGCCCCUAAAUACAGUGGCGGUCUCGCCGCAGCCUCUCCUGCGCAGUAGUUUGCACAACUCGCACCGGGAGCGCGGCGCGUCCACGUCCGUAAAACACCCAACUUUCUGGAAUGUUGACCUCGGAUCAGGUAGGAAUACCCGCUGAACUUAAGCAUAUCAAUAAGCGGAGGA
rnacentral:rRNA from 1 species